GCCUAAAAUCUAGCCCAUUUAACCCACAUGACCCCCUUAGUCAACUGUCUUAUAACAAAACAUUUUAACAUUUUAGUACAGGUGUACGAAAAAUUUUAAGCGCUUCAGAUAAAGUACCGCAAGGGAAUAAUGAAAUAGAAAUGAAAUAAUCUUAAAGCCCUAAGUAGCAGAGUUUACCCCUCGUACCUUUUGCAUCAUGGUCUAGCAGUCUCCCCAGGCAAAAAGAAACUUUUAGUCUGACUCCCCGAAACUAGGCGAGCUACUUCAAAACACCGAAAGGGGCCAACCCGUCUCUGUUGCAAAAGAGUGGGAAGAUUUUUAAGUAGAGGCGAUAAACCUACCGAGCUUAGAGAUAGCUGGUUGUUCAGGAAAAGAGUCUUAGCUCUACCUUAAAUUUUUUUAUUACAUCAAACAAAAUAUUAAAUUUAAGAGCUAUUCAAAUAAGGCACAGCUUAUUUGAAAUGGGGUACAACCCAAAUAUUGGGUUAAAAAUUGCCUUCUCCUAAAUGUAAGUUUUAACCAAAAUGGACUUUCCAUUGGUAAUUAACGCAAAUGUAAAAAUCAUAACACCACUCGGCCAGAAAACCCUAUGAUUCUUAACGUCGACCUUACACUAGAACAUUUCAGGAAAGACUUAAAAGAGAAAGAAGGAACUCGGCAAAUUACAGUCCCGCCUGUUUACCAAAAACACCGCCUCUUGAAUGAAUAUAAGAGGUCCAGCCUGCCCAGUGACAUAGUUCAACGGCCGCGGUACCCUAACCGUGCAAAGGUAGCAUAAUCACUUGUUCUUUAAAUAGGGACUCGUAUCAACGGCACCACGAGGGCUGUACUGUCUCCUUUCUCCAAUCAGUGAAACUGAUCUCCCCGUGAAGAAGCGGGGAUUAACCUAUAAGACGAGAAGACCCCAUGGAGCUUUAAACCCAGUAUACAUCCCUGCGCACCUAAAUCACGACAGCCAAAGAGACUUGUAUUCUGGUUUUGGUUGGGGGGACCGCGGAGUAAAAGGAAACCUCCACGACAGACGGGCUAACACCCUUAUCCAUGAGCCACAACUCUAAGAGCCAAUAAAUUGUUGUCUAAUGACCCAAUUACUUGAUUAACGAACCAAGUUACCCUGGGGAUAACAGCGCAAUCUACUUCAAGAGCCCCUAUCGACAAGUAGGUUUACGACCUCGAUGUUGGAUCAGGGUAUCCUAGUGGUGCAGCCGCUACUAAAGGUUCGUUUGUUCAACGAUUAAAACCCUA
rnacentral:rRNA from 1 species